rnacentral:rRNA from 1 species
CCUACGGGAGGCUGCAGUGGGGAAUAUUGCACAAUGGGGGAAACUCUGAUGCAGCGACGCCGCGUGAAGGAAGAAGUAUUUCGGUAUGUAAACUUCUAUCAGCAGGGAAGUAAAUGACGGUACCUGACUAAGAAGCCCCGGCUAACUACGUGCCAGCAGCCGCGGUAAUACGUAGGGGGCAAGCGUUAUCCGGAUUUACUGGGUGUAAAGGGAGCGUAGGCUGUAAUGCAAGUCAGAAGGGAAAGCCCGGGGCUCAAAUCCGGGACUGCUUUUGAAACUGUGUUGCUAGAUUGCAGGAGAGGUAAGUGGAAGUCCUAGUGUAGCGGUGAAAUGCGUAGAUAUUAGGAGGAACACCAGUGGCGAAGGCGGCUUACUGGACUGUAAAUGACGCUGAGGCUCGAAAGCGUGGGGAGCAAACAGGAUUAGAUACCCCUGUAGUC